AACGGAUCUCUUGGCUCUGGCAUCGAUGAAGAACGCAGCGAAAUGCGAUAAGUAAUGUGAAUUGCAGAAUUCAGUGAAUCAUCGAAUCUUUGAACGCACAUUGCGCCCGCCAGUAUUCUGGCGGGCAUGCCUGUUCGAGCGUCAUUACAACCCUCA
rnacentral:rRNA from 1 species